AACGAACGCUGGCGGCAUGCCUAACACAUGCAAGUCGAACGAACCCUUCGGGGUUCGUGGCGCACGGGUGCGUAACGCGUGGGAAUCUGCCCUUUGCUUCGGAAUAACAGUUAGAAAUGACUGCUAAUACCGGAUGAUGUCUUCGGACCAAAGAUUUAUCGGCAAAGGAUGAGCCCGCGUAGGAUUAGGUAGUUGGUGGGGUAAAGGCCUACCAAGCCGACGAUCCUUAGCUGGUCUGAGAGGAUGAUCAGCCACACUGGGACUGAGACACGGCCCAGACUCCUACGGGAGGCAGCAGUGGGGAAUAUUGGACAAUGGGCGCAAGCCUGAUCCAGCAAUGCCGCGUGAGUGAUGAAGGCCUUCGGGUCGUAAAGCUCUUUUACCAGGGAUGAUAAUGACAGUACCUGGAGAAUAAGCUCCGGCUAACUCCGUGCCAGCAGCCGCAGUAACAC
rnacentral:rRNA from 1 species